UUUUUGGGUAGGAUAGAAUGCUAGUCGAGUGGCUCAGCCAAUACGAGCCACGGCAUACAGCUCAGUAACACGUGGCUAAUCUGCCCUUAGGACGAGAACAACCCCGGGAAACUGGGGCUAACUCUCGAUAGGCGAAGAACUCUGGAAUGAGUCUUCACCCAAAUAGUUCAGCGUUACGCUCGUUGGACCGCCUAAGGAUGAGGCCGCGACCGAUCAGGUUGUUGGUGAGGUAAUGGCUCACCAAGCCUUUUACCGGUGCGGGCCGUGAGAGCGGGAGCCCGGAGAUGGGCACUGAGACAAGGGCCCAGGCCCUACGGGGCGCAGCAGUCGCGAAAACUUUGCAAUACACGAAAGUGUGACAGGGCUAUCCCGAGUGCCAUCCGCUGAGGAAGGCUUUUACCCAGUCUAGAAAGCUGGGGGAAUAAGGAGAGGGCAAGUCUGGUGUCAGCCGCUGCGGUAAUACCAGCUCUCCGAGUGGUGUGGAUGUUUAUUGGGCCUAAAGCAUCCGUAGCUGGCUAAGUUAGUCCCUUGUUAAAUCCACCGAAUUAAUCGUUGGAUUGCGGGGGAUACUGCUUGGCUAGGGGACGAGAGAGGCAGACGGUAUUUUCGGGGUAGGGGUGAAAUCCUAUAAUCCCGGGAAGACCACCAGUGGCGAAGGCUGUCUGCUAGAACGCGCCCGACGGUGAGGGAUGAAAGCUGGGGGAGCGAACCGGAUUAGAUACCCGGGUAGUCCCAGCUGUAAACGAUGCAGGCUAGGUGUUUGGACGGCCACGUGCCGUUCUAGUGCCGCAGGGAAGCUGUUAAGCCUGCCGCCUGGGGGAGUACGAUCGCAAGAUUGAAACUUAAAGGAAUUGGCGGGGGAGCACCACAAGGGGUGAAGCUUGCGGUUUAAUUGGAGUCAACGCCGGA
rnacentral:rRNA from 1 species